rnacentral:misc_RNA from 1 species
AUUUAUCCAUACCAAUAAAAUUUUAUAUAUAUAUUCACCACCUUCCCUCCUCUCCUUAACAUCUUCUAUAAAGAUUUGUUUUCCUUUUUUGUUAUUCUUUUAUUAUUUUGUUGUUUCUGUUUUCUUUUUCCAUUUCUUCCCCUCUAAUUCUGUUUGGAAAUUUUGCAAGAUUUGGAACGAAAUCUGGUCAGAUCUUGCUUUGUGGAUUGUGGAUUUUGUUGGGUUUCACUUCAAUACAAAAAAGCUCUACGCUUUCUCUCCUUCUCUCCCUCUUCUUCCUCUCCACCUUAGCUAGGAACAGAAACCAAUAUAAUAUACCAAUCCAAAAUACUGG